UAUAAUUUACUUGAUCUUGAUUAUCCUACUUGGAUAACUGUGGUAAUUCUAGAGCUAAUACAUGCACCAAAGCUCCGACUUACGAACGAGCGCAUUUAUUAGACCAAAACCAAUCGGGCUUCGGCUCGUUUGUUGGUGACUCUGAAUAACUAAGCUGAUCGCACGGUCUCGCACCGGCGACAUGUCUUUCAAGUAUCUGCCUUAUCAACUUUCGAUGGUAGUUUAUGUGCCUACCAUGGUUGUAACGGGUAACGGAGAAUAAGGGUUCGACUCCGGAGAGGGAGCCUGAGAAACGGCUACCACAUCCAAGGAAGGCAGCAGGCGCGCAAAUUACCCACUCUCGGCACGAGGAGGUAGUGACGAAAAAUAACGAGACCGUUCUCUAUGAGGCCGGUUAUCGGAAUGGGUACAAUUUAAACCCUUUAACGAGGAUCUAUGAGAGGGCAAGUCUGGUGCCAGCAGCCGCGGUAAUUCCAGCUCUCAAAGUGUAUAUCGCCAUUGCUGCGGUUAAAAAGCUCGUAGUUGGAUCUGCGCCUCAGGACUCGGUCCGCCCACUGGGUGUGAACUGGGAUCCUAGGCUAAUACUGCUGGUUUUCCCUUCGUGGCCUUCACUGGUUGCGUUGAGUGGCUAGCGAGUUUACUUUGAAAAAAUUAGAGUGCUUAAAACAGGCUAUUGUCUGAAUAUUCGUGCAUGGAAUAAUAGAAUAGGACCUCGGUUCUAUUUUGUUGGUUUUCUGAACUGCGAUAAUGGUUAAGAGGGACAGACGGGGGCAUUCGUAUCGCUGCGUGAGAGGUGAAAUUCUUGGACCGCAGCGAGACGCCCUACUGCGAAAGCAUUUGCCAAGAAUGUCUUCAUUAAUCAAGAACGAAAGUCAGAGGUUCGAA
rnacentral:rRNA from 1 species